AAGGUAGCAUAAUAAUUAGGUUUUUAAUUGAAAUCUAGAAUGAAUGAUUGGACGAGAUACAAGCUGUUUUAUAAUAAUUAAUUAAAAUUUAAUUUUUUAGUCAAAAAGCUAAAAUUUUAUUAAAAGACGAGAAGACCCUAUAAAUCUUUAUAAUAAAUUUAUUUUAAUAAAUUAUUUUAUUUAAAUUAAUAAUUUUAAUAUUAAAUUAUUUUAUUGGGGUGAUACAAAAAUUUAAUUAACUUUUUUAUUGAAAUUUCUUAAAUUAAAGAUUUAUAAAAAUAUGAUCUAUUAUUAAUAAUUCAGAGAAUAAGAUACUUUAGGGAUAACAGCGUAAUUUUAAUUUUAAGUUCUUAUUAAAAUUAAAGAUUGCGACCUCGAUGUUGGAUUAAAAUUUAAUUUAAAUGCAAAGGUUUAAAAAUUAAGUCUGUUCGACUUUUGAAAUUUUACAUGAUCUGAGUUCAAACCGGUGUAAGCCAGGUUG
rnacentral:rRNA from 1 species